GAUACAAUGACCAACAUGGCUGCUAGGAGUCAACACCUGUGGAUUGUUGGAACCAUGUGGCACACGAGUGGAAUAAGGUUCAGAUUUUUCAGCUGCAGGGGAGAUGCUGAAGCUUCUGAAACACUAAGCUGGAAAGUGCUAAAAUGCCGUGUUAGGCUAAAGGUAAGGAUGCAGGGUCUAAAUGCUGCCGUCUUUGAACCAAGCCACCUGCAGCAGCCGUACUGCACCUCCACACUUGCUCCUUCCUCGUCAGGGCAGCCGUCCAGAGAACCAUCAGCGGGAGGUGCUCUGCUAAUCCUGGUGGCUGUGUGUUGGGUGCCGGGCGUGCGGCGUUCGCCCCAGGGAUCCCCCGUCGGAUCAGCUGUUGCUGGCCGAGCCCGCAGCUAACGGAGCCCCAGGGAGCUGCAGGAGUGAUUUCUCAUUGGACCUGACGGACGGUGAUUUGUUCCCUCAGAACCGCCCCUUUAGACGGACGUCUGGGCCCGGACUCAAUCUCCCUCCGUCCGGUGGACGUGUGAGAACUUGACAGACGCCGCCGUUGCCUCUUGAUGAAAUUCUGGAGCGGGUUCCCCUUCUGCACCACCCCGUGUGUUCCUCACAGCCACAAUCCACAAUCCCGUCAUCAGUCAAGUCGCGCACUUCCUCCCUUUUCUCAACCUUCACAGCGAACCUGAACAGGACUGUUGAACAGGACGGAGUUUGGACAUGAAUCACGGCGCUGCGACGGACGGGGCAUCGGCGCCGCUUCCCUCCACCUGUCAGCCUUCAUCCACUCCCCAAUCUGAAUACUGUCAUCACCGCCGCUCGCGAGCGGAGCUCAGACUACAAACACCAUUGUACAAGCUCAACACUGCAUUGACCCUUAUCUGAGUCCAUGUAAUACCCCGGCAAAAACUGCAAUUUCUGGUGCCAUUGUGUUGCCGGCUGAGAUGUAACUGAGCGUGUGCCUGUGUAAACGCUGCCUCCGCGGCCCAGACGGACGGGCCGGAGCUCGCGUGACAGCGCCGGCGCCGCCGCUCUGACCUUUCCUGAUGCUACCAGCUUCAGCGGCGCUAACGAGGCGGUGACGCGGCCCGACAGCCAGUGGCACGCAAUUAUUUUAGCCAGGAAAAGCACUUGUUGGUAUGCGAGCGUCUCGGUCAGCGUGUUUGUGCAGCCGGGGAGACUGGAAGCCAUUGUCAAGCUGAAAAAAGCUGUGAUUCUUCAUAAAAUCGUAUUGAACCCUUGAAGUGAAGAAUCUGCGUACGACCACUGGGUUGUGGCCUUUUUUGCCGCGAACGCACACAGGCCAAGUCGCCGUGUGUUGUUGUUGUUCACAUCAGCAUCGCAUUGUUAUCGGGGGAUUAGCUCAUAAAUAGAUAAAUUAGAUGGAUCUUGAUCUGAUUAACAUCAGUUAAUUAGCUGGAUAAGCUACUCAUGCACAACAGCAGCGCUGUUCUUUGGGAAUAUUUUCAGAUGAGGUGACUUUGAGAAUGGUCUCAGUAAAUUAAUUAAACUCUCCGCCAAUAAACGAAACUGGCAGAAGAUAAUAAGAAAUACUGUAGAUGUAAUGGUGCCACCACCUACUGUUGUGUCUGACUUUGACAAAUUGAUUAGAUGAUUAAAUUGCUGCAACUCAUUAUA